rnacentral:rRNA from 1 species
UACGUAGGGUGCGAGCGUUGUCGGAAUUAUUGGGCGUAAAGAGCUCGUAGGCGGUCUGUCGCGUCGGCUGUGAAAUCCCGAGGCUCAACCUCGGGUCUGCAGGUCGAUACGGGCAAACUAGAGUAUUGCAGGGGAGACUGGAAUUCCUGGUGUAGCGGUGAAAUGCGCAGAUAUCAGGAGGAACACCAAUGGCGAAGGCAGAUCUCUGGGCCGUAACUGACGCUGAGGAGCGAAAGCAUGGGGAGCGAACAGG